UACGUAGGGUGCAAGCGUUUGUCCGGAAUUAUUGGGCGUAAAGAGCUCGUAGGUGGCCUGUCGCGUCGGCUGUGAAAACUCGGGGCUUAACCCCGAGCCUGCAGUGGAUACGGGCAGACUAGAGGUAGGUAGGGGAGAAUGGAAUUCCCGGUGUAGCGGUGAAAUGCGCAGAUAUCGGGAGGAACACCGGUGGCGAAGGCGGUUCUCUGGGCCUUACCUGACGCUGAGGAGCGAAAGCGUGGGGGAGCGAACAGG
rnacentral:rRNA from 1 species